CCUACGGGAGGCAGCAGUGGGGAAUAUUGCGCAAUGGGCGAAAGCCUGACGCAGCGACGCCGCGUGAGUGAUGAAGGUCUUCGGAUCGUAAACCUCUGUCAGCAGGGAAGAACGGUCACUGUGCUAAUCAGCAGUGAAUUGACGGUACCUGCAAAGGAAGCACCGGCUAACUCCGUGCCAGCAGCCGCGGUAAUACGGAGGGUGCGAGCGUUAAUCGGAAUUACUGGGCGUAAAGCGCUCGUAGGCGGUCUGUCAAGUCAAGUGUGAAAUCCCCGCGCUCAACGUGGGAACUGCCUUUGAAACUGGCAAACUUGAGUGUGUGAGAGGAUAGUGGAAUUCCAGGUGUAGGAGUGAAAUGCGUAGAUAUCUGGAGGAACAUCAGUGGCGAAGGCGACUAUCUGGAACAAAACUGACGCUGAGGAGCGAAAGCGUGGGUAGCAAACAGGAUUAGAUACCCUUGUAGUC
rnacentral:rRNA from 1 species